rnacentral:ncRNA from 1 species
UCAGCUAUGGUUUAUUGGAUCAUACCCGUUAAAUGGAGCUAAUACAUGCCCCGAAGCCCUGACCCGUGAAGGAAUAAGUGCACUUAUUAGAUCAGAAGCCAAGCAGGUAGUGUUCGUCUGCCUUCGGGUGAAAGCUCCGCUGCCUGUCAUCCUUCUGGUGAAUAUGGACAAUUUUUACAGAUCGCAGUGGGCAUUGAAUCGGCGACGGGUCCUUUAAAUGUCUGCCCUAUCAACUUUCGCUGGUAGGUAACCUGCAUACCAUGGUGAUAACGGGUAACGGGGAAUCAGGGUUCGAUUCCGGAGAGGGCGCAUGAAACGGCUACAACUUCCAAAGGAAGCAGCAGGCGCACAAAUUACCCACUCCCAGUACGGGUAUGUGGUGACGAAAUAUACCGAUGCACGACUCUUAUUGAGGCUCCGUAAUCGGAAUGAGUGAACUCUAAAUCCUUUCGCGAGGAUCAAUUGGAGGGCAACUCUUGUGCCAGCAGCCGCGGUCACUCCAGCUCCAAUAGCGUAAAUUAAAUUUGCUGCAGUUAAAAAGCUCGUAGAUGGAUCUUGGUAUCACUGUCGCCUGCAAGUUCUCGGCUGAUUUUUCGUUGUAGGUGUAGGUGAAGGCAUGGUUAUGCUCGAGUUGGCGUGGCGGUGGUUUCACCUUUCAGCCAUGUCUGUGGU